AGGGCGUGGAACGAACGUCCUGUUUGGUGACCAUAUUUAAAGAGAAAUUUUGAAAACGAGUACCACUUUCUGCAUGCAAAACCCUUCGUCUUCAACCUCCAGAAACCUCAUUUUCUCCUCCUUCUCUCUAAAACCUUCAACCUUCUCUCUAGAAUUCUGACCACUUCUUCUUCUCUGAUCACCAUACUCCUUUCAGAAUAGUUCUUCCC
rnacentral:lncRNA from 1 species